CGGGUGAGUAAUAUAUCGGAACGUACCUUUGGGUGGGGGAGUAACGUAGCGAAAGUUACGCUAAUACCGCAUACGAUCUACGGAUGAAAGCAGGGGACCGCAAGGCCUUGCGCUCAUAGAGCGGCCGAUAUCUGAUUAGCUAGUUGGUAGGGUAAAAGCCUACCAAGGCUUCGAUCAGUAGCUGGUCUGAGAGGACGACCAGCCACACUGGGACUGAGACACGGCCCAG
rnacentral:rRNA from 1 species